UCAUACUCUGCCCCCUCUCUCUCUUAAAGCGACUGACGACGCAUCUGAUAAGGAACAUACCGACGUUAAAACUCAAUUGAAGAUCAGAUUCAACCAUCCCAAUCUCUCUCUAACUCUUCCCUCUCUCCCUCAAAGCGACCGACGACGCAUCUGAUAAGGAAUAGACCGAUGUAAAGCUCCGGCCGAAACAAACAGAAAGGGACCAAUCGACGCAAACGGAAAGGGACUGACGCAAACAGAAAGUGAAGGUAUUUCACUUUAUUAAUUUUGUAAUUUCUGUUUAAACCAAAUGAAAUCUAGAGUUUAUUAAGGGGUUUUAAUUUAAGAUUACAUUAAAUUGAUAGGACCAACUGUGGAAUUUCAUAGUUGAAUUCUAGGAUUUAUUCGGCACCUCUAUAAUUUGAUGUUGGUACAUGUUAUUAGAUUUUUUUUGGUUUUGUUUUACCUGUUGAAGCCUCAUUUUUGAAAUGUAGCUCAAAUUUUGGAACGGAAUGAGUAUUUAAGUUUGGGUACAGAAAAUUAUUCUUCAAAUUUUAGAAAAAAUGUGGUUGGCCAAAUAAGAAGUACUUGUAAUUUUAUAUAGUUUGUUGUUCUUCUAUUCUAUUAUAUCCCUUCAAGUUGUCUGUUUGUUUUUAGGAAAGAAAUAAUGGUACCAGCUAUGCUGCAUAUAGGAGUUCCUAAUUUGCCAUAAAAUAAACACUAUCAUGAUUCAUGUAGAACCUACUGUAUUUCUACAAUUAUUAGACAUGUUAUUGAAUAUUUUUUUUGGUUUUGUUUUACCUGUUGAAGCAUCAUUUUUGAAAUGUAGCUCAAAUUUUGGAACGAAAGGAGUAUUUAAGUUUGCACAUAGUGCAUAGACAAUUUUUAUUGUCAACCAUAAGUUUAAUACAAUAUUGAAAAAUAAUCAGAAGACAUUUAUUCCGGCUUCAUACAUACUAUAUAUGCCAAACAAAUGCCUACUUAGAACUCUUCAGUUUUGAUUGCAAUAAGUUAGCAGAAGAAUUAAGAAUGAAAAUAGGAGAUCAACAUUGUCUAAAUAUUGUUCAUGUAAUUCUUCUGAUAAUCUUUAAAGUAUGUAAUCUACGAACAAACCAAUGUAAUUUUACAAACAAUAUUAAGGGGACAUUUGAAUCAUUUUACAAACAAAACUCUACGACCUUCAUGUGGUUUUUUUUCCAGCUCAUCAUGUCAUGCAUAAAGAUGAAUAGGCCUGGGAUUGCGGAAAAUGCUAUAAUAAAAACCAAUAAUACCUUGCAGCUCAUUAUAUUUGUGGAAGAUGAAAACGUGGUAAAACGUGAUAAAAUCAUCCUUUAAUGCAAAUAAAUUCUAGCGUUUGAUGCUCAAAAAUCCUUUAUUAGUAUAUUUUACAAGAUUACUCCCUCCUUUUCUUAGCUUACUGCAGUGUUAUACUCUAUUAAGUGACGUAAUUCAUUCAAAUAUACAAUUUGGAAUUAUUGUUGAUCUUUUGUAUGCCUGUAUGCUGAUAGAAAAUAUGUCAUCAAAUUCGUCUACUGCUACAUCCGUAUGGCCUCUGUUCAUAUGUCGUUGUGGUAUGGGCCCUUGUAUAGUAAAACUUUCAAUGUCGGAAAAGAAUCCGGGUAGACACUAUUAUUCUUGCCCAAGAAUGGUAUGUAUUUAUUUAUUAUUUUUUUUGUAUAUUUGUUCCUUUUACACAAGUCCAGAUGUUUAUUGUGUCCCAAUAUAUGCAGCAAUGUGGUAACUUCAUCAGCUGGUGUGACGAAUAUGUUCGAGUGUUGCAUAAUCAAGGGAGGUUGCAAAUGGACACAUCGGAGCGUUUAAAUGUAACAACUCAUCCAACGAUUGCUAAUGACUCCAACGAAUUAGCCAUGAUGAAAAUUGAAAUUCGUCAAUUGCAAUUAACUCAACGAUUUAUCAUAAUUGUUAAUGUUAUGUAUGCGGUGUUGUUGUUAAUGUUAUUAAAUCGGUUGUAAUUUUGAUAAUUUCAUUAUAUGGUGUUGUUGUUAAUGUUAUUAAAUCGGUUGUAAUGUUGAUAAUUUUUAUUAUCAAACCAUGUAAUCUAUGUGACAAAAUGUGUCUCACUUGUCAUUCUAGUGUUGUAACCUUUUACUUUUAUUACAAUGGUG
rnacentral:lncRNA from 1 species